rnacentral:rRNA from 1 species
ACAGCAGUAGCCACGGGAAUACAGAGGGUGCGAGCGUUAAUCGGAUUUACUGGGCGUAAAGCGUGCGCAGGCGGUUUGUUAAGACAGAUGUGAAAUCCCCGGGCUCAACCUGGGAACUGCAUUUGUGACUGGCAAGCUAGAGUAUGGCAGAGGGGGGUGGAAUUCCGCGUGUAGCAGUGAAAUGCGUAGAUAUGCGGAGGAACACCGAUGGCGAAGGCAGCCCCCUGGGCCAAUACUGACGCUCAUGCACGAAAGCGUGGGGAGCAAACAGGAUUAGAUACCCGUGUAGUCCCUGUCUCUUAUAC